rnacentral:lncRNA from 1 species
AGACAUUUGGUGCCACGAGUCUCUUCCUGUCCUAUAAGAAGUAGAGGAGAGAAGAAAAGGAAGUCAGAGUGUAUGGAGCUAGUGGCACGGAUGAACUGUUUCUUGUCGUGUCUGGACUUACAGGUCCUAGUUUACCGUUUCUUCCCCACUUGCCCACCCCUGAGGCAGCCCGUGUUGUCUUCUUCCUGGAACAGCAGUGGCUUUCUUAGGUGGUGAUUUCCCCACAGUUUAGAAGGGUACGAUCAGAGGCAUUAUGGAUCAGAAUGGACAGAAAGCUGUAGCUGCUUAUAAAGUUGAGAAACUCACUAGGGGAAACAAUGGCAUCUUAGGGAUGCUCUUUAGGGAGGAGCCAGCUGGAGGGAGACCUGCAUCUUCCCUGUGUUCCCAACCUUUCUACCUCCCUGCUGCUGUAGACCCUCCCAUGCACCUUCCCUUUGUGCCAAACCUGUCUGUCUGUUUAACCCUAUAACACAACCAUAACAUUGCCAUAUGUCCCCUAUCUUCCAGGAAACGGAGGGAAUCCAGAUUGCAUGCUGUUCAAUAGUGACUUUCUGUUGUACAGGAGGAGAGGAGGGCGGUAGAAGGUAACCAGAUUCAGUGCUGAGGUGUGGGCCCUCUGUCUCAUCCCUGCCAACUUCCUCCUCUUGAACCUUGAACUUCUACCAACAUUUUUAGCUUCUACUCUGUACCAGGUAGGAGGCUGUGGGCUGGCCCGGCAGUGAAUCCAGAGCUGUGGCUGCUCUCAUGCUCUUGGGCCUUUUGGUCUGGGAAUAUCUUUAGUUUCCAAAUCCUUCAAAUCCCAAGCCGUUUUCUUUCCUCAAAUGAGAGAAAGGGAAUAGGCAGCAGGCUGGUUUAUUGGAUGUUUUCCUUCAUUUCUGACUCUGACAGCCAUCCUUCACAUCUGAUAGGGAGUCUUCACAAUAGUGAUGAAUUUAUUCAUUUUGACUGUUUGUGAAGCUCUCUAAUUAAUUCUUUAUAGAUUUCCAUCAGCGACUAAAUUUGUGUUUUGAGUUAAAAUUGGGCAUUCAGAGGAACUGCCUUGGGAUACUCUGCUCUCUCGGAGCCCCUCCUCCACACUGGCAGCUGCUGACCUCCUGUUCACUAAGCAACUGAGCAGCACCGUUUGCCUCAUAGUGACGCACCAGCAGGUGGUUACCAUGGAAUGAGACAGCAGCAAAGCACUGUCCCUGUCGUCAUGGAGCCCCUGAGCCAUCUCCUAAGCAACCUGGCAGGAGAUCCCCAAACAAAUCUAUGCUCUCUGCUCCACUGAGGUUAGUUUUAAAUUUAUUUUUGUGGGUUGCUUGACAUCAACAGCUUUGUGUAGCUAAACAAAUUUAGGGAAGGAGCUACAGUGUAGCUCUGUCCAGAGAGACACGGAAAAAAAAAAAAAGAAAGAAAGAAAGAAAACAAAGCAGAGGGAGGAUGAAGGGGAGGGCAGGGGAUGACACAACAUAUAAGAAAUGAGUCUAAGAAACAUACAGAGAGAUGGAAAGAACUGUGUGGAAAGGGGGAGAACAGAUACACACACACACACAUACACACAUGGAAAAAAACAGAGGCAAAGAAACACAGAGAACACUGCUGCGAAGAAAACAGUGUCUCACAGAAGACUAAAAUAUCUGGGGAGAUAGCAACAGUGGCUGUGUUACUUGGAGUGUCAGCCAUUUCUCCCCUUACUUCCUGUUCUUGUUCUCAAUGUGGGAAUAUUAAAAGAGGUUGCAUUACUUG